rnacentral:misc_RNA from 1 species
CCAAUAGCGUAUAUUAAAGUUGUUGCAGUUAAAAAGCUCGUAGUUGAAUUUCGGGAUUGGCGCAUCGGUCGUGCCUUACGGGGUAUGAACUGGUGCAGUCAAUUUCUCACCUUCUGGAGAACCGCGAUGUCCUUAAUUGGGUGCCGCGGGGAACCAGGACCUUUACUUUGAAAAAAUUAGAGUGUUUAAAGCAGGCAUUUUUGCUUGAAUACAUUAGCAUGGAAUAAUAAAAUAGGACGGCAUGGUUCUAUUUUGUUGGUUUCUAGGACCACCGUAAUGAUUAAUAGUGAUAGUUGGGGGCAUUAGUAUUCAAUUGUCAGAGGUGAAAUUCUUGGAUUUAUUGAAGACUAACUACUGCGAAAGCAUUUGCCAAGGAUGUUUUCAUUAAUCAAGAACGAAAGUUAGGGGAUCGAAGACGAUCAGAUACCGUCGUAGUCUUAACCAUAAACUAUGCCGACUAGGAAUCAGACGAUGUUAAUUUUUUAAUGACUCGUUUGGCACCUUACG